rnacentral:rRNA from 1 species
AUUGAACGCUGGCGGCAGGCUUAACACAUGCAAGUCGAGCGGAGAGAGGUAGCUUGCUACUGAUCUUAGCGGCGGACGGGUAAGUAAUGCUUAGGAAUCUGCCUAUUAGUGGGGGACAACAUUUCGAAAGGAAUGCUAAUACCGCAUACGUCCUACGGGAGAAAGCAGGGGAUCUUCGGACCUUGCGCUAAUAGAUGAGCCUAAGUCGGAUUAGCUAGUAGGUGGGGUAAAGGACUACCAAGGCGACGAUCUGGAGCGGGUCUGAGAGGAUGAUCCGCCACACUGGGACUGAGACACGGCCCAGACUCCUACGGGAGGCAGCAGUGGGGAAUAUUGGACAAUGGGCGCAAGCCUGAUCCAGCCAUGCCGCGUGUGUGAAGAAGGCCUUAUGGUUGUAAAGCACUUCAAGCGAGGAGGAGGCUACUUUAGUUAAUACCUAGAGAGAGUGGACGUGACUCGCAGAAUAAGCACCGGCUAACUCUGUGCCAGCCGCCGCCGUAA